rfam:Microgenomates (Gottesmanbacteria) bacterium GW2011_GWA1_43_11 TV59_C0050, whole genome shotgun sequence.
GCCGAGGUGAUGAAAUGGUAGACAUGCAGGGCUUAGGACCCUGUGAGCCUUAAAACUCGUAGAGGUUCAAGUCCUCUCCUCGGCA